GUGACCUGACGGAAGGAUCAUUA
rnacentral:rRNA from 1 species